rnacentral:rRNA from 1 species
AUUGAACGCUGGCGGCAGGCCUAACACAUGCAAGUCGAACGAGGGGCGGACGGGUGAGUAAUGUCUGGGAAACUGCCUGAUGGAGGGGGAUAACUACUGGAAACGGUAGAUAAUACCGCAUACCAUCAGAUGUGCCCAGAUGGGAUUAGCUUGGUGGUGGGGUAAAGGCUCACCAAGGCGACGAUCCCUAGCUGGUCUGAGAGGAUGACCAGCCACACUGGGACUGAGACACGGCCCAUACUCCUACGGGAGGCAGCAGUGGCGAAUAUUGCACAAUGGGCGCAAGCCUGAUGCAGCCAUGCCGCGUGUAUGAAGAAGGCCUUCGGGUUUUAAAGUCCUUUCAGCGGGGAGGCGUUACCCGCAGAAGAAGCACCGGCUAACUCCGUGCCAGCCGCCGCGGUAAUUC